GAUGAAGAACGUAGCGAAAUGCGAUAAGUAAUGUGAAUUGCAGAAUUCAGUGAAUCAUCGAAUCUUUGAACGCACCUUGCCCUCUUUGGUAUUCCGAAGAGCAUGCCUGUUUGAGUGUCAUGAAAAUAUCAACCUUGACUUGGGUUUUGUGCUCUAGUCUCGGCUUGGAAUUGGGUGCUUGCCGCUUUUACGAGCGGCUCACCUUAAAUGUAUUAGCUGGAUCUGUCUUUGAGACUUGGUUUGACUUGGCGUAAUAAGUAUUUCGCUAAGGACAUUCUUCGGAGUGGCCUCGUUUCUAGGACGCUUGUCCGCUUUCCAAUACAAGUUCCACCUCGUGGACAUGACUUUUUAUUAUCUGGCCUCAAAUCAGGUAGGACUACCCGCUGAACUUAAGCAUAUCAAUAAGCGGAGGA
rnacentral:misc_RNA from 1 species